rnacentral:rRNA from 1 species
GUGCAGCAGGCGAGAAACUCCGCAAUACACGAAAGUGUGACGGGGCCAUCCCGAGUGCCGUCCGCUGAGGACGGCUUUUCCCCAGUGUACACAGCUGGGGGAAUAAGGAGGGGGCAAGCCUGGUGUCAGCCGCCGCGGUAAUACCAGCUCUCCGAGUGGUGGGGACGCUUAUUGGGCCUAAAGCAUCCGUAGCCGGCUGGGCAAGUUCUCCGUUAAAUCCAACGAUUCAAUCGUUGGGCUGCGGGGGAUACUGUCCAGCUUGGGGGCGGGAGAGGCCGACGGUAUUCCCGGGGUAGGGGUGAAAUCCUAUAAUCCCGGGAGGACCACCAGUGGCGAAGGCUGUCGGCUAGAACGCGCCCGACGGUGAGGGAUGAAAGCUGGGGGAGCGAACCGGAUUAGAUA